AAAACGUCUUUUCUUGGUGGUGUUCUCAGGUGCUUGACAAUGCACGGGUCCGGGGCGUCAGUUGAGGAGGAUGGAUCCGCGGAGGUGGUGGCCUGAUGCUCUGCCAUCCCCACAGCCCCACCCGCUCUCACUAUUCCUGUCGUCGGCUCCGUUUAGCAGGAUGGAUCCAUGAAGGUGCUGACGGAUGCGCCGUUUCUGCAAUCCCAGACGGAUGCGCCGUUUCUGCAAUCCCAGCCGCCUCACGGCCUAUCUGCAUCGUCGCCGAUCCAGUCGCAAGCACCAUCAAGGAGGGCACGUGGGAGAAUUGUUAACAUGUAGAAGCUAUGGCUGGGCUGUCUGUGCAGGCACCCACGAAGCCAUGGCUGCCAGUAAGGAUGCAGAACUAGGUGGCAAUCAAGUAUUUAGGUUGGUCACGGCAGGGACAUGGCAAGAGGAAGAAAACACACAUGAUCUAUCUUUCAUCUAAGGUUGGGUUAGGAUGGGAAAAUAGGGGUAAUUUUUUCCAAAGGUAUUUCUACUCAUGGGGAUGGCCGCAAUGCAAUAUUUCAAAACCAUAGUUCUGAUGGAUUUUUUGGUCAAACAGUUUCAUCGUAUUUUGUAGUAUGCUAAUACUCUAAUUUGAUAGAAUAGUAUACAAAGUAGUAGAGAUUUUUUAUGUUACCUGGGGCAUGAAUUGACAAUUAUUAUGCAUAUACCAUAGUUUUGUUGUAGAAACAUUUUCUAUUCAACUUUCGGUUAGUGCAGCUCCUAUAUUACAAACACUAGUGACUAGGUAAUUUAUGUAGACAUCAUGGAAGCAACAAAAGCAUUAAUUUUAAAAGAGAAGUAAUUUGGUCCUCCGAUACCUUGCAACAAGGUCCUGCCGGGGUGCUCCCAAUUUGUGAUGGUUUUACUAUCAGUGCUGUGUAAUCUACUGCAACCUAAGGACAAGAUGUUAGUACCAAUCUAACUGAGCUUGUUUCUGAACGUACACAUACUCUGCUUAUAUUCACUUCUAGGCAGUGCAGAAUGUUGCAGCUUGCUUAAUAAUCAUUGUGUACUCUUUCAACUAUUCAAUUGAUCUUUUUUACUAUCCUCCUAGACAUUGGGUCGAGCUGUAUCCCUGAAUAAAUAUAUUUCAUUUGGAGAACAAGAGUUCCAGCUAAGUAUAAAUUUUUGGUUUUGGCUUCUACUGCAUGGUAGAUGCUGGGAAACGGAUAUGCAGCACAGACAUGUUUUCUAGGGCAAGUUAUUGAGCUUUAUGUGCUCAAGACAGGGAGACAGUCGAACAACUGAUCCUGCAUUCCUCAUCAAUCAGCGAAAAAGUCUGGUUCAGACUGCUCUGGAUGGCAGGUCAGCAUAUCCGGACACUGUGACUGAAACUUCAUUCGCUCAGUGGUGGAUGAAGGAGAAGUGAAGGAGCCGAUUCACAUUCUUCAACGUGUUCAUACAGUCAGCGCGGUGGAGCUUCAUGUCAAAUUCAAAGGCGUCCAACACUUAAUUUGAGAGCAAAUCACUGAAGAUUUCCUAAAGAGAAGGUGUAGACAAGAUUUCCUCCUGAAGGAUCAAAGCAUACUCCUCAGUUCUCAGUUUCUCACCAAUCAUGGGACUUUAGUGGAAGGGGCAAUAGAGUACUGACCCCUGGUUUUCAGGUCAUUGUGAUUUGUGGCCAUUAACUUCUAUGAUGCAUUUUUUUUUCUUUCUUCGCAUUUGUCGCUAGAAGGAUGUUCGUUGCAGGUGCACAUCCCAUAUGCAAAAUCUUGUAGGAUAUUUCUCCUUCUCAAAUUUGUGUGUUUUAGGAAUAUGAAUCACAUAUAUGCAUAAGUUAAAGUA